GAUGAAGAACUUAGCGAAAUGCGAUAAGUAAUGUGAAUUGCAGAAUUCAGUGAAUCAUCGAAUCUUUGAACGCACAUUGCGCCCCUUGGUAUUCCGAGGGGCAUGCCUGUUCGAGCGUCAUUAUAACCCCUCAAGCUCAGCUUGGUGUUGGGGCCUGCUGCACUGGCAGCCCUUAAAAUCAGUGGCGGCGCCAUCUGGCUCUAAGCGUAGUAAUUCUUCUCGCUAUGGAGUCCUGGUGGAUGCUUGCCAUCAACCCCCAAUUUUUCUAUGGUUGACCUCGGAUCAGGUAGGGAUACCCGCUGAACUUAAGCAUAUCAAUAAGCGGAGGA
rnacentral:misc_RNA from 1 species